CUAACGAGGAUUCCCCUAGUAACGGCGAGUGAAGCGGGAAGAGCUCAAAUUUGUAAUCUGGCGGUCUAUGGCCGUCCGAGUUGUAGUCUGGAGAAGCGUUUUCUGCGUCGGACCGUGUACAAGUCCCUUGGAACAGGGCGUCAUAGAGGGUGAGAAUCCCGUCUUUGACACGGACUGCCGGUGCUUUGUGAUGCGCUCUCGAAGAGUCGAGUUGUUUGGGAAUGCAGCUCAAAACGGGUGGUAAAUUCCAUCUAAAGCUAAAUAUUGGCAAAAGACCGAUAGCGAACAAGUACCGUGAGGGAAAGAUGAAAAGCACUUUGGAAAGAGAGUUAAACAGUACGUGAAAUUGUUGAAAGGGAAACGCUUGAAGUCAGUCACGUCUUCCGAGACUCAGCCUUGCUUUUGCUUGGCGUAUUUCUUGGAGCGACGGGCCAGCAUCGAUUUCGAUCGUCGGAGAAAGGCUUUGGGGAACGUGGCACCUUUUUCGGGUGUGUUAUAGCCCUGGGUCGUAUGCGACGGUUGGGAUCGAGGAUCGCAGCACGCCUUUUUGGCCGGGGUUCGCCCACGUAACGUGCUUAGGAUGCUGGCGUAAUGGCUUUAAGCGACCCGUCUU
rnacentral:rRNA from 1 species